UAACAAGGUCUCUGUUGGUGAACCAGCGGAGGGAUCAUUANUGAGUUACCGCUCUAUAACCCUUUGUGAACAUACCUCAACUGUUGCCUCGGCGGGCAGGCGGCGGCGACGCCGCCUCCCCGGCGCCCCUCGGGGCGCGCCCGCCGGGGGAUAACCAAACUCUGAUUUAACGACGUUUCUUCUGAGUGGCACAAGCAAAGCAAUAAUCAAAACUUUUAACAACGGAUCUCUUGGUUCUGGCAUCGAUGAAGAACGCAGCGAAAUGCGAUAAGUAAUGUGAAUUGCAGAAUUCAGUGAAUCAUCGAAUCUUUGAACGCACAUUGCGCCCGCCAGCAUUCUGGCGGGCAUGCCUGUUCGAGCGUCAUUUCAACCCUCAAGCACUGCUUGGUGUUGGGGCCCUACGGCCGACGUAGGCCCCCAAAGACAGUGGCGGACCCUCCCGGAGCCUCCUUUGCGUAGUAACAUUACCACCUCGCACUGGGAUCCGGAGGGACUCUCCUGCCGUAAAACCCCCCAAAACAUAACAAGGUUGACCUCGGAUCAGGUAGGAAUACCCGCUGAACUUAAGCAUAUCAAUAA
rnacentral:rRNA from 1 species